CCUACGGGAGGCAGCAGUGGGGAAUAUUGCACAAUGGGCGCAAGCCUGAUGCAGCCACGCCGCGUGUGUGAAGAAGGCCUUCGGGUUGUAAAGCACUUUCAGCGGGGAGGAAGGCGGUGAGGUUAAUAACCUCAUCGAUUGACGUUACCCGCAGAAGAAGCACCGGCUAACUCCGUGCCAGCAGCCGCGGUAAUACGGAGGGUGCAAGCGUUAAUCGGAAUUACUGGGCGUAAAGCGCACGCAGGCGGUCUGUCAAGUCGGAUGUGAAAUCCCCGGGCUCAACCUGGGAACUGCAUUCGAAACUGGCAGGCUAGAGUCUUGUAGAGGGGGGUAGAAUUCCAGGUGUAGCGGUGAAAUGCGUAGAGAUCUGGAGGAAUACCGGUGGCGAAGGCGGCCCCCUGGACAAAGACUGACGCUCAGGUGCGAAAGCGUGGGGAGCAAACAGGAUUAGAUACCCGGGUAGUC
rnacentral:rRNA from 1 species